GAGUUUGAUCCUGGCUCAGAUUGAACGCUGGCGGCAUGCCUUACACAUGCAAGUCGAACGGCAGCACGGGAGCUUGCUCCUGGUGGCGAGUGGCGAACGGGUGAGUAAUGCAUCGGAACGUAUCCUGGAGUGGGGGAUAACGUAGCGAAAGUUACGCUAAUACCGCAUAUUCUGUGAGCAGGAAAGCGGGGGACCUUCGGGCCUCGCGCUCUUGGAGCGGCCGAUGUCGGAUUAGCUAGUUGGUGAGGUAAAGGCUCACCAAGGCGACGAUCCGUAGCAGGUCUGAGAGGAUGAUCUGCCACACUGGAACUGAGACACGGUCCAGACUCCGUACGGGAGGCAGCAGUGGGAUUUGACAAUGGGGCAACCCUGAUCCAGCCAUGCCGCGUGAGUGAAGAAGGCCUU
rnacentral:rRNA from 1 species